rnacentral:rRNA from 1 species
GACGAACGCUGGCGGCGCGCUUAACACAUGCAAGUCGAGCGAGAACCCAGGCUACGGCCUGGGGGAAAGCGGCGAACGGGUGAGUAACACGUGGGUAAUCUGCCCUCGGCAUCGGGAUAGCCCGGGGAAACCCGGAUUAAUACCGGAUGGCCCAGCAGCUCUUCGGGGCGGCUGGAAAAGGUAGCUUCGGCCUCCGGCCGAGGAGGAGCCCGCGGCGGAUUAGCUUGUUGGUGAGGUAACGGCUCACCAAGGCUCCGAUCCGUAGCUGGUCUGAGAGGACGAUCAGCCACACUGGGACUGGGACACGGCCCAGACUCCUACGGGAGGCAGCAGUGGGGAAUCUUGCGCAAUGGGCGAAAGCCUGACGCAGCGACGCCGCGUGAGGGAAGAAGGCCUUCGGGUUGUAAACCUCUUUCAGGAGGGACGAAGCCACUCGGGUUAAUAGCCCAGAGGGUGACGGUACCUCCAGAAGAAGCCCCGGCUAACUACGUGCCAGCCGCCGCAGUAAGAC